rnacentral:rRNA from 1 species
UACGGGGGGGAGCAAGCGUUGUUCGGAUUUACUGGGCGUAAAGGGCGCGUAGGCGGUCGUGACAAGUCACUUGUGAAAUCUCCGGGCUUAACUCGGAACGGUCAAGUGAUACUGUCGGACUAGAGUACAGAAGGGGCAACUGGAAUUCUCGGUGUAGCGGUGAACUGCGUAGAUAUCGAGAGGAACACCAGUGGCGAAGGCGGCUCACUGGACCGGUACUGACGCUGAGGCGCGAAAGCGUGGGGAGCAAACAGG